GAAGUUCAAACCCAGAUCAGAGAGGAGGAGGAGAGAUUCAGGGAGGAGCUGAGCUGUUACUGAACUAGAAGAGAGAGAAACCUCCACAUUCAACAGAGUUCAGCACACAAACCAUAAACUUUACCUUCAUUCAACAUGUUGUCUUUGGACUAUUAUGCACUUUCUUUACUGAUUCUGUCAGGGUCCUGGGUCUGAGCGACCCAGGAUCCCUGAGCAGUUAUGGACUAAUAUCAUUAUAUAUAUUUUGUAUGGCUGUCCCUGGUUCUCCCUGCUUGUAUGUGUAUGUUUGUGUAUGAGCACCCGUCUAUAGGUGCUUUCAGGCCUGGUGGGUGUGGCCCUGCUAGGGGACUGGUCACACCCGAAGCCACGCACCUGCUGCUGAUGAGGCCUCGUCGGGGGAGCUACUUAAGAGAGUCUUGGAGCUCCCACCGACGCGGGAUCAUUGCGUGAGACUCCACGAGGUGUGUGGGAGGCAUGAAGAGCGGCGGGCACCGGGAGUGCCGACACACGGGAGCAGAGAGCACAAGAAGGACACGACACGGGAGUCUGGGGAAAACACGGGGAUUUAUUGUUGUUUUGUACCACGCACUGUAAAUAAACGCACUGUCUACACACAGAGCACCGCGCCUGGGUCCUCCUUCCUCACACCCCCACGGUCUGCCAGCCAGACCGUGACAGAAUGAUCCCGCCAAGCAUGGACCCAGCGGUCUCUGAGGAGAGGCUCAGGAGGGAGGCUGCUCACCGGCUCGGACAGCUGGUGGAUUCCCAGCCUGAGACGCCGGCCCGACGUCUACACGGAAACGACGUUCGCGCCGCCGGCGUUCCUCACCGCAGCCGACUUCCCGGACAUCUCAAGAGCCGGCUGUGGUGAGUAAUACGGACACUUUUUCAUUUCCCUUUUAUUAAAUAGUUAUCUGAAUCUUACAACCAAAGUUUGUAUAAUAAUACACAAGAUUGGCUGUAGAACAUUGU